rnacentral:tRNA from 1 species
GGGUCUAUAGUGUAGUGGUUGCACGCUCGAGAUCUAAUUGAGAGGGGCCAGUUCGAUUCUGGCUAGACUUU